GAGCGGUAUUGUUUCUUCGGAAACGAGAGAGCGGCGCACGGGUGCGGAACACGUGUGCAACCUGCCUUUAUCUGGGGGAUAGCCUUUCGAAAGGAAGAUUAAUACCCCAUAAUAUUUUGAAUGGCAUCAUUUAAAAUUGAAAACUCCGGUGGAUAGAGAUGGGCACGCGCAAGAUUAGAUAGUUGGUAGGGUAACGGCCUACCAAGUCAGUGAUCUUUAGGGGGCCUGAGAGGGUGAUCCCCCCCACUGGUACUGAGACACGGACCAGACUCCUACGGGAGGCAGCAGUGAGGAAUAUUGGACAAUGGGUGAGAGCCUGAUCCAGCCAUCCCGCGUGAAGGACGACGGCCCUAUGGGUUGUAAACUUCUUUUGUACAGGGAUAAACCUUUCCACGUGUGGAAAGCUGAAGGUACUGUACGAAUAAGCACCGGCUAACUCCGUG
rnacentral:rRNA from 1 species